GAUGAACGCUGGCGGCGUGCCUAAUACAUGCAAGUCGAGCGAACGGACGAGAAGCUUGCUUCUCUGAUGUUAGCGGCGGACGGGUGAGUAACACGUGGAUAACCUACCUAUAAGACUGGGAUAACUUCGGGAAACCGGAGCUAAUACCGGAUAAUAUUUUGAACCGCAUGGUUCAAAAGUGAAAGACGGUCUUGCUGUCACUUAUAGAUGGAUCCGCGCUGCAUUAGCUAGUUGGUAAGGUAACGGCUUACCAAGGCAACGAUGCAUAGCCGACCUGAGAGGGUGAUCGGCCACAAUGGAACUGAGGAACGGUCCAGACUCCUAAGGGAAGCAGCAGUAGGGAAUCUUCCGCAAUGGGCGAAAGCCUGACGGAGCAACGCCGCGUGAGUGAUGAAGGUCUUCGGAUCGUAAAACUCUGUUAUUAGGGAAGAACAUAUGUGUAAGUAACUGUGCACAUCUUGACGGUACCUAAUCAGAAAGCCACGGCUAACUACGUG
rnacentral:rRNA from 1 species